rnacentral:rRNA from 1 species
AUGGCCACCGCCUCCAGCCAGGCGAGCCUCCUCCUCCAGAAGCAGCUCCGAGAUCUCGCGAAGCACCCCGUCGAUGGGUUUUCAGCCGGGCUCGUCGACGACAGCAACGUCUUCGAGUGGCAGGUCACCAUCAUCGGCCCGCCCGAGACCCUAUAUGAUGGAGGCUAUUUCAAUGCAAUAAUGAGCUUCCCACAAAAUUAUCCGAACAGCCCUCCAACAGUCAGAUUCACUUCUGAAAUGUGGCAUCCUAAUGUUUAUCCGGAUGGGCGGGUAUGCAUUUCUAUUCUUCAUCCACCUGGUGAUGAUCCCAACGGAUACGAGCUCGCGAGUGAGCGUUGGACACCAGUCCAUACGGUUGAGAGUAUAGUAUUAAGCAUCAUUUCGAUGCUUUCUAGUCCAAAUGAUGAAUCACCGGCAAAUAUUGAAGCAGCUAAGGACUGGAGAGAGAAGCAGGAUGAGUUCAAGAAGAAGGUCAGGCGCGCCGUACGGAAAUCCCAGGAAAUGCUCUGA